UCUCCCUUUAACCGACGCCAUCAACGGUGAACUCCCAUGAAAUCUAACCCUUAUUUUUCUUCUUUUUCUCACUGAAAGAAGAGAAAAGUUCAUCAUAGCCUCUUUCUCUCACCAAAAGCCAUCGAUGGUGAACCCUUAUUGAUACUGAACCCCUUCCUUUAUCAAACCUCGAUUUCUUUAUCUCAAACACAAUCAUUUGGUUUGGGAGAUGACGAUAUGGGUUUCAAAAGCUACCAGUAGGAUUAUCACAAUCGGAGAUCAACUGUAUCAGAGGUGAUCAGGCACAUGACUAGGCUCAAUAAUGGCAACCACGUGACUAGGCUCAAUAAUGGCAACCUGAAGAUCUAUUUUUCGGCUAACCCUUAUGCCUCCUAAGGAGGUUUCAGAAAAAGUCAUGUGGUCAAGUUUUGUGAAUUAAGUUUAAGACUCUGUUUUUAUUUUCUCAAAAUCCGAACAAGUUUCCAUCUAUCUGUAUAUUGGGCUAGUCCUAACUUGGUUUAUCUGUACAUGUGUAUGACGCAAGACUAAUGUAUAUAUAUGACGUAACAUUUUGCCAAGAUAAAGUUUUAAUUCCA